UGCAGCGCUACGCUAGAGCAGAGUACGAGUCUGAGGCGAAGGGAGUCAUGGCGGGACAAGCGUUUAGAAAGUUUCUUCCACUCUUUGACCGAGUAUUGGUUGGAAGGAGUGCUGCUGAAACUGUAACCAAAGGAGGCAUUAUGCUUCCAGAAAAAUCACAAGGAAAAGUAUUGCAAGCAACAAUUGUCGCUGUUGGAUCGGGCUAUCUAAAGGAAAGGGUGGAGAGAUUCAGCCAGUUAGCAUGAAAGUUGGAGAUAAAGUUCUUCUCCUAGAAUAUGGAGGCACCAAAAUAGUUCUAGAUGACAAGGAUUAUUUCCUAUUCAGAGACGGUGACAUUCUUGGAAAGUACAUAGACUGAAAUAAGUCACUAUUGAAAUGGCAUCAAUGUGAAGCUGCCCAUUCCACUGAAGUUCUGAAAUCUUUCAUCAUGUAAAUAAUUUCCAUAUUUCUCUUUUAUAAUAAACUAGUGAUAACUAAUGACAUCCAGUGUCUCCAAAAUUGUUUCCUUGUACUAAUAUAAACAUUUCCAAAUAAAAAUAUGUAAAUGAGAAAAAAAAAAGAAAGAAAA